rnacentral:tRNA from 1 species
GGGCUCGUAGCUCAGCUGGGAGAGCGUCGCAAUGGCAUUGCGAAGGUCGACGGUUCGAUCCCGUUCGAGUCCACCA